rnacentral:rRNA from 1 species
AUUGAACGCUGGCGGCAUGCCUUACACAUGCAAGUCGAACGGCAGCGGGGGAGAAGCUUGCUUUUCCUGCCGGCGAGUGGCGAACGGGUGAGUAAUACAUCGGAACGUGCCCUGUAGUGGGGGAUAACUAGUCGAAAGAUUAGCUAAUACCGCAUACGACCUGAGGGUGAAAGUGGGGGACCGCAAGGCCUCAUGCUAUAGGAGCGGCCGAUGUCUGAUUAGCUAGUUGGUGGGGUAAAGGCCUACCAAGGCGACGAUCAGUAGCUGGUCUGAGAGGACGAUCAGCCACACUGGAACUGAGACACGGCCCAGACUCCUACGGGAGGCAGCAGUGGGGAAUUUUGGACAAUGGGCGAAAGCCUGAUCCAGCAAUGCCGCGUGUGUGAAGAAGGCCUUCGGGUUGUAAAGCACUUUUGUCCGGAAAGAAAUGGCUCUGGUUAAUACCUGGGGUCGAUGACGGUACCGGAAGAAUAAGGACCGGCUAACUACGUGCCAGCAGCCACCGUAA